UACAGAGGGUGCUAGCGUUGUCCGGAAUCAUUGGGCGUAAAGCGCGCGUAGGUGGCUUCGUAAGUCCGUUGUGAAAGUCAAAGGCUCAACCUUUGAAAGCCGAUGGAUACUGCGGAGCUAGAGUACGGAAGAGGCGAGUGGAAUUCCUGGUGUAGCGGUGGAAUGCGCAGAUAUCAGGAGGAACACCAAUAGCGAAGGCAGCUCGCUGGGACGUUACUGACACUGAGGCGCGAAAGCGUGGGGAGCGAACAGG
rnacentral:rRNA from 1 species